AUUGGACGCUGGCGGCAGGCCUAACACAUGCAAGUCGAGCGGAUGAAGGGAGCUUGCUCCUGGAUUCAGCGGCGGACAGGUGAGUAAUGCCUAGGAAUCUGCCUGGUAGUGGGGGAUAACGUCCGGAAACGGGCGCUAAUACCGCAUACGUCCUGAGGGAGAAAGUGGGGGAUCUUCGGACCUCACGCUAUCGGAUGAGCCUAGGUCGGAUUAGCUAGUUGGUGGGGUAAAGGCCUACCAAGGCGACGAUCCGUAACUGGUCUGAGAGGAUGAUCAGUCACACUGGAACUGAGACACGGUCCAGACUCCUACGGGAGGCAGCAGUGGGGAAUAUUGGACAAUGGGCGAAAGCCUGAUCCAGCCAUGCCGCGUGUGUGAAGAAGGUCUUCGGAUUGUAAAGCACUUUAAGUUGGGAGGAAGGGCAGUAAGUUAAUACCUUGCUGUUUUGACGUUACCAACAGAAUAAGCACCGGCUAACUUCGUG
rnacentral:rRNA from 1 species